UGGACUGUCAACAUGCGGCGGCGCGGUUGGUCCCAAUAACUCGCUCGAUGAUUAACGAGCGGCUUGAUAAUUUAAUAUCGGGGGUGAUUAAAUUAUAAGGCGUGGGGGAGGGGAGCCCGGGCCGCGGGCUGCCGGGCAGCUGUCCCCGCGAGCGCCGAGCCGCGCUCCGUGUGCCCGCAGUGCCCGCGCGGCGGAAGGCGGCGCCGACGCUCUGCCAGGUCAGUGGGCUCGGGGCGGCUGGGCGGGUGCGGGGCGGCGGGGCUUGUGUGGCUGGGGAAGGGGAGACCAGGGCGGUCAGGGACUCAGUGCUACGACUGGGCAAAGGGCCGGGGAAAUGGCCCUAGACUAGGGCGCAUCUCCUCCGUGACUCCCAUCUCCCCCGCAGGGACCAGGGAGAGACCCCAGGACCUCCGGCCGCCCGUCCCCCGCGCGUCCCCCAGGCCCGCGCCCGCACUCCAAGCGGCUUCCCUGCCCGGGGGCGCCGGGGUCUGGGUGACCCGAGCCCUUCCCUCCCGGUUCCGCGGAUCCCAGCCCAGCCCCCGGCCAGGGGAGAAGGGGGCAGGGGCCCCACGCCAACCUGCGGGAGGGGGGGGACAGAGGAAGCAGGAAGCUGCUGCCCGGUCCCGAGAAAGCAGAGGAGGCCAGCUAGAAGACCAGUUGCGGUUUCCCGGACCCCGAUUUGAUGUGUUGGAGAGGAGGCUGGGGGGCCGACCCGAAUCCCUGGGUGGAACUCCCCGCGGGCCUCCUCUUCUCGCUGCUGGCCCGAGGGCAGCCACGCUGGUCACGCCGCUCGGGCGCAGGUCUGGGGCUCCUGGCUCUGGCCCAGGUGCCGCUGCCCACUUAGGGCCCCUCCGUCAGGCUUAGCGACGAGGGCGCUGCCUUGGCUGCGAAGCGGAGCAGCGGGUCUGUAGUGGAGGGGGACCCCGGGCCGGAGGAGUGGCUCCUCUUCCUUCGUGGUCACGUAGAAGGACUUGGCAUACAGCAGGGCGAAGGCAGGUUCCGAAGAGAAAGGCUGACCCCGGAGACCCCGGAAAACUGCACCCAGGAUGACUCCGAGCCCGGAAGGGGAGACAGAAGGCGCGCGGUCAGGGAGGCCAAGGACCACGCGUGGGGUGGGAACGCCGCAGCCAGGCAGUGAUGUCCUGGAAGAGACCCAGAGGGCCGACCCCAGGCCACCCUUUUCCUUUUGGUCAGUAUCUCCAGAGACUUCUGGGAAUGUCCCCGAAGGGCAAUAGGAUGGGCACCCGGCAGGACUUGUAAAAAUAACCUCAAAGCCAGCCCGAAGACUUCGGAAUUGGUGGCCACAGCUCUGCCACCUUGCAGCAAAGCUGUUCAGCGCCCUUGGUCUCUUGCUCCCACCUCCUCUGCCGGCCAAUUUACAGAGGGUUCUACCCUCUGGUUUGGGAAUUAGAAAGCACCACCUUAAGUCACCUCGAGAAAGCGCCUCUGGCCGUAGGGAGCAGAUUCGGGGGGCGCCUCCUGUGCGGCUGCAGGCCUUACAAAACUGAGGACCGCCAUGGGCCUGGGGGUCCUCAGCUCUGGGGUGCGCCCGCCAAGUUCGCCACUAUCGUUCGCCUGACCCUUGCUGGUGCCCUAUGCCUCCGUGCGCCUGCCAGCCUUAGCGUCUGGGUCUGACCUCGCACCGGGCGCACGGGCGCAAUCCGGGGCCUCACGGAGCGGGACAGGGGAGAGAAAGACCCGGUGGCUUCAGCGCGCGGAGAGAAAGGGAGGCGAGGCGCGAGCUCGAGUUCCUGGCACACCACCAAACACGUUUUGUUUUCUCUUUUUACUUUAUUGGGGGGUGGGGGAGUGGAAGGGGAGGAGGAAAGACGAAAAAAAAAAAGUUAGAUCGCUUGAAAUCGACCCGAUCUGUGGUGUGUUAACUGACACCUACUCAGCUGAGUGAAAAUGGUUCAGUUUGAUGCUUGACUCGUUUGUACCAAGGCGCAGGAGAACUGGAGACGGCCUGGGCCUGGGCAAGAGGUCUGUGAAGUCUUGUUCGCAUUUGUUAUGAAUGCAUUUUCACGACGGCCGAGUUCCCCUAGCCCAAGCCCCCGGAUCAGCUGAAGGCCACACUCGCGACACUCACCUGGGCACCGGGAUUCGGCUGGAGCAGGAAGUACCCGUUUCGUGGGUCCCGAGACCGGCCGUGCAGGCAGACCCCAGGACUGUGCGGGUUCGCGGGAGCCCUGCCCGGCCCGGGCGCGGGGCGGAGCCAGAGAGCGGGGGGCUGCGUGUGCUCGGCGGGCGCCCGCGAGCGGGGAGGAGGAAAUCUCCUUUCUCCCUUCGGGGUGCACCCGGGCUCAGCGAGGGGCGAGCUGCAGGGUGGCGGCGGCCGGGUGCGUGACGGGCGCCUGGGAGCGCGCUCGCCCUCCGCUUGGCCUGCUCCGCCCCGCCCAGGCACGGUUAGAUUUCUCGGCUCUGAACUCUGGGACUGAGUCCUCCAAAGCAGCUUCCCACGCCUCUAGUUUCGUCUUGCGAGGCCCUUCAGGACAGCUGACCGGAGCGCAGGGAGAGCACAGGCACCUGGCACUGCACGCAGGCCCCCCGCUCCUCGCGGCCAGCGACCCGCGCGUCGCGUCCAGCCUCCAACUCCUGCCACCCCGUAAGCUUCCUCCCAGCUCCUCCUCGCGGGGGUGCAGCCAAAGAACCCUUUUUCUUUUCAAACACUAUCCACAAAUACAGCCUUUCGAGGAGGCAGGCGCCUUUGACCCGAUCCAGUCCUCUCUGCCCGCGCGAAUGGAAGCGCACGGGGACGGGUGGAACGGCCGCGACGGCCGCAGCGCGAUUCCGACCCGGACCGAGGGUCCGAGCUGGCGCCAGAGACGGCGUGGGGGUCGUUCCCCCGCGCGCACCUCUGCAGGCCGAGCUCCAGAGGCUCGUGUGCGCUAGCGCCGGCCGCAAGCGCCCGGGUUGCCCUCCCCGCCCGGGUGCCCGCCCCGCCCGGGUACCCUCCCCGCCCGGGUGCUCUCCCCGCCCGGGGUGUGGGCCUCGCUCCCGCCCUCGCCCGGGCCACUCCGCGUCGAGCGUUCCUCGGCGCGUUUUGUUCCCGGUAGCUUUCCCGGCCGAGGGGCUGUAACCGCGCUCUCCUCCGACGAACGCUAAUCAAGUAAUUUCCCCAUCCCAGCCCCAUCAAAUUGCUCUUUAGCUGUUGAACCGCGGAGUUUUGCUCGCCUUUCACAUGCUAAUCACGCCCAUUCAGCGCUCUCGGUGGGGCUGUUUGUCGCGGGAUAAAUCUCCUUGUUUGCCGGCUGCAUGAUUAAUUGAUAUUGUUGUCUGGCUUUUGUGGGGCCGCGAGGAGCUGAAAGGCAGCGCGUCGGGAUUGCGCCGUCGGCCGCCGGCGACCAGGUCGGGCUACCGAGGUCCCGGCGAGGUCGAGCCCGGGCUGAUGACAUGCGCGCCGGGUCUGGUCUCUCUUGUUACAAAGAUGAUGGAAGACUCGGAGACCCGGCGUUUGCAACCCGCCUCUGGGACGCAGAAAACGCACCGAAUUUAAGCAACCGCCGCAGACAAGGCCUGGGUGUCCGCUCAAUUCAGAGAAAAGGACUUAGUCACUUCUCGGUGCAGAAGACCAGUGAAUCAAAUUUCGGCCCAGCCGGAAUUUCGGUAGGAGUUGAACGUGUGCGUGCAACGCUGCAACGUUGUAGUUUGGUUUUUCAGACCCGGGGCGUGGGAAGAGGUGGGGUAAAUUUUUUUCCCCCUCUCUUUCACUAUGAAGACAGUUUAAACACUUGAAACAUUAGUUAAAGGACGGAACCGGCUCAUACACGAACCUUUUAGUCAGUGGUCAAGUAAAAUUGCGCUGAGCACACCCAAAGACUGACCCCCAUCUGUGGAAGUUCGUGGUACUUAUACCGAAGCGCCAGCCACAAUUAAGAUGGGAACCAUUGAACUCAAAGGAUUUUUAGGGCCUGCAUCUGCCUGCAGGCAAUGUCUUAUUUGUCUUCGCGGAUAACUGCUCUUUGCUGUAUUAUCUCCGCGGCCCGCAGGUGUGCAGCCAACCCAGCAAAUUCCUCCAUCCUCUACAUCCCUGCACCUCCGCCCCCCAUUGAGUCUUGGGAUUUUAUCCUCCACAGACAUCACUGUAAACAUGGAGAUUCAAUUAAAUAAUUUCAGUUA